GAAUUGUAAAUAUAUUUACUGGAGCUGAAAUGAUUUCCAUAGAGAGAGAGGGAGGGAGGGAGAGGGAGGCUGGCUGCACAGAGCCCCCCAGCUGUCAAACAGAGGGAAACGGUCAAUGUGAAAAAGACAAAGAACAUGGCGAAAGGUACCGGGCUUCUGAAUUUCGUCUUAUUCUAGCCAAAGUAAAAUGUGACCGCAUAGUAUAAACAGCCUCCUGCUGGAGACAGAACUUCAGGAGUACGUAGCGCAGGGGUCAGAUGAUUUACUUCACUUGUGUUUAGUACCAUUCUGAGACAAAAAAUAUGGAACUUGAUCUAAUAGAGGUUGGCUGAUUACUGAGGAGUUACACAUCCUUGUUAGCAGGGAGCACACCACCAGUGAACAUCAUUAUAGAGGAAUCUUGCUUGGGUAAGGGUAAUCAUUGUCAAGUCUGGUUUCCGGCCACAUCACAGUACUGAAACUGCUCUGC